UUGGCCCUGAAUCAAGGUCAGCAGUUUACUGAAGCUGUUGGUCUGUUGGCCAUUUCAGAAAUUUGUAAAUCUAAUGGUCAAUUCAUUAAAAAGAAACAUCU
ensembl:snoRNA predicted gene, 22804